rnacentral:lncRNA from 1 species
GAGAGUUUUGUGAGUGCCUUAUGUGGGUUUUUGCCAAGUUCUAAGAUGUUUCCUAUGAUGGGAAGUGGGUAUGGCCCUGGUGGAAGUUUAGUAGAAUUUUGGGUUUGGAUUAAUUUUCUAAGAAUGAAGAUGAGAAUGGUUGUACACAAAGAGGUAAUCACUAGUAGAAGUGUUUGGUACUCCAUGGCUUAUUGUUUUUGGCUUUUCUUUUACAUGUAUAUAUUUAUAAGAAAAAAAGAGCACUGAUAGGGUGUGAUAUGAGGAUAGAUACGGUUCCAGUAGUUAUAGUGCUAAGGAGAUUGGAAGGAGUAUGGGUUGUAUGAUUGGAAUAAACAAUGGAAUAAUGAUCUUCAACUACUGAAACACAGUCUCAUCAUUAGAUAAAAGAUGAUUUGAACAAGUGUUUAUACGUAAAGGUAAUGGUCAUCUUAAAAUCCAGUUUUAUGAGUUGUGUUAAACUCAAAACACAAAUUUCAAAUUCUUCAAGAUCCACAUGUUAGGUCACCUAGCAUAUAUAUUUAAGCAGCAAAGCAGUAGUCUUGCGUGUGAGGUCGACAAAGAAGAUAGAAGAAGAGUCACACAUAUCAACUUAAAUAUGUGUUUUUGUUAUUGUUUGUGCCAUAGGAAUGAGAGGUUGGUGAAGCGACAACACAUUGCCCUUUAACAAUAAAUUUAAGGCUAAUUUUUUUUUUCUCUAACUAUUUAAUUGGUAUUAGAUUGGUCCUCUAACUAAAAAUUGAUUUAUUUCAGUUCUCUAAGUUUCUCACCGUUACUAUAUUUAGUCAUUUCUGUUAGUUUUAUUCAAAUAAACGUUAGGGUUUGUGUUAUGUGGGUCCUCUAACUUUAUUUAUUAGUAUCAUUUUGGUCAUAUGACUAGUUAAGGUAUUAUGAUUAAAUAGUGACUGAUAUUAUUAAUAACUUUUAUGGUUCAUAUGUAUCUGUGAAACAGGAGGUCAAGUACCCACAUAACACAAACUCUAACGUUUAUUUGAAUAAAAUUAACAGAAAUGACUAAAUGUAGUAACGGUGAGAAACUUAGAGAAUCGAAAUAAAUCAAUUUUUAAUUAGAGGGUAAAUCUGAUACCAAUUAAAUAGUUAGAUGAUCAAAUGUAAUUAAGUCUAAAUUUAAUAUGAGAAGCAUAUAGAAGUCCUUGCAUUUUAAUCAUGUUGUCUUUUUGUAGGUAUGUUAUGUCUAGCGGUGAGAAAGAUAUAAUAAAGAAAUAUAAAGACAUUUAAAUUUAAUUGGUCAGUUUGAAAUAAAAUUGAUUUGACUGGAAGAUUUUGUUUCAUCUCUUGAUUUUGAUCUUCAGAGAUUUUUUAGUCAUAUUUCAUUGCCAUAAGCUUUUUACUUAGAAAUCGGAGAGUCUAUUUUGUCUAAAGUCUAAAUUCUUCUUCAUAGAGUUCUGGGGCUGCUUGUAAUAAGUAGAUUUUUCCAGUUUUUUUAGCUCAUUUUUGAACAAAUGGAUAGACGACACAUAUCAAAUAAUGUUAUUUUUUAUUUUUAAUAUAAAGCACUAUCUUUUUAAUUUUUUUAAUUUUAGUCAUACAUAUAUCAAAUGCCUCGAUCUGUCGAUGGGUUGCUACCCAAGGUGUUGCCAAAAGGUCACCGCUUGUGAGGCAGGGGGUUUUGUUUGAAACUCAAUCGUGGGGUAAGUUUCAUAAUCAAAAAGUGAGACAACAUAAAAAUAAUGAAAUUUUUGCAGUAUAUGGUUCACAAUUGAAUACUUCAUCCGGUCCUAUUUAUGAAAAAAAUUGAAAUUUUAGAUUCAUUUUGUUUAGAAUAUAGAUCAAAUAUACUAUUUAUGCAAUGAAUCAAAAAAGUCAAAUGUUUUUUAUAAAUAGAAUCGGAAAGAGUAUCGAUGAAGGUGGCACGAUUAAGACAUUCUCGGAGUUGGAGGCAGGUUGAAAACAUGUGUUACUAUUUUAUAAUUAAAUAUAAAAACAUAAAUGAAAAUAGAAUUUACUUUGAGAAAAUAUUUUUUAUUUUUAUAUCUUAAAAUUUAUGUUAGUUUUAUUGAUCAACAAUGAGAAAAUAUAUUAUUUAAGUGAACAAUUGUCUUGGUAUACUUUUAAAGGAUGAAAAUACCAAAAAGUUAUUUUCAUUAUUUACAAGGGUGGAUCAUCCCUAACUAUGAUUUUACUCUUUUUUGUUUAUUUGAAGGGAACUAUCAUUUUACCUUCUCUAUGUAUAAAAAAAAUGCUAACAAGUAUCGUCAACGCAAUUAACGUACUUCCUCCGGUCUCGAAUGUAAGAAACAAAACAAAAAAAUUGUUGAUCUCAAAUGUAAGCAAAAGUAUACAAAAGUUAUUCUAUUAAAUAUUACUAUUCCAAUUUUAACCUCAUUUAUUUUAUCCAAUUUGUUUCACAUUCCCAUGUUUAACGCAUUCCAAAGAUUUUUCAUUGGUGGAAUUCAAAAGUCAUGUUUCCAAGACAAGGGCAUAACAGGAAAAAUGGUAUUUUUUACAAUGACUCAAUCCACUUUCUUAAUAUUUGUGAUAUUUUUUUUAUUUCUUACAUUCAAGACCGGAGGGAGUAUUUGUUAAAAAGUUUAAAGAAUAAAUUUUGUUUUAGAAAUGAUGCAUUUAAUGUAUUGAAAUUUUAAAAAGUAAUUUUUUUAAAAAAAACUUAUCAAUUAUUUUUAUUUUGAAUCCUUAACAAUAUCUUAAUGACACUUGUUAGCAAGACCCAUAAAUAAAUAAAUAAAACUAGUAUAUUAUUAUCUAUUUUUAAAAUAAAAAACAUAAGCAGCCUACAGAGCUAUUGGAUCAACGUGCUUUUCGAUAUGAGUUUGAAUAUAAUGCAUGUAUGACGACCACAUAGGUUCUAAUUCAUCGUUACUGAAUGACUGCCUGUACCAUCAUUGUUUAUUAAGAAAUGGUAGUGACUAUGGUUUUAAAUUGCAGUAUCUAACUUCUAUAAAGGAAAUGCAGUCUAUUAACAAUUUUAGAGGUCUUUGACAAUGACACCUCAACCAAAACAAAAUUAACCUAAAGAAAAAUAAAGGGAUACAGAGACCAAGGGUAUUAGACAUAACCUAGAUAUAACCUAAACGGGAUAUAUCGUGGAAAAUCAUACCAAGUUGUUGGGUCAAUAAGGGGAGUCAGGAGGACCGUCCACAUCGAGGCCCGAACAACCACACUUGCAAGAGAGACGCCACACUCUUACCCAAAAUCUUAAGGCAAUGGGUUUAUGGGGUUCUCUUACUUAUAAGGUGUUCACUCCCUCUCAAGUGUGAGUCCAUCUAUUCAUCAUGCUCCUCCUUUCAAGCGGAAGCCCUUGCUUGUAACGUCGUUGCUGGUUUCUCCAGCAAAUGGACCGACACUGCUUGUACCGUCGUUGCUGCUUUCUGCGCAAUGGACCGACUGCCUCGGUCGUACCCUUCGUCGAAUCAGGCUCUGAUACCAGUGUUGGUUCAUUGAAGGGAUCGUCCACAUCGAGGCUAGAAUAACCACACAAGCAAGAGAGACACCACACUCUUACCCCAAAACCUUAAGGCUCUGUUUGGAUUGAUGGAACAUAAUGGAGCGGAGUGGAAUGGAACGGAAUGGAAUGGAGCGGAAUGGAAUGGGAUGGAGCAGAGAGUCCAUUCCACUGUUUGGGUAUUUUAUGAUGGAGCGGAAUGCAUUUUCCAUUCCAUUGUUUGGAAAGUUGACGGAAUGGAAUAAAUUAUAACUUUUUAUUCCAUUUUUACCCUUGCUUAAAAUAUAAUCUUCUAUUAAAUUUUGUUGUUUCUAAUAUGUUGAAUAUUUAAAAUGUAUAUCAAAUAUUACUGCAAUAUUUUAUCAUCUAAAUUGUACUUUAUAAAACAUUUUUUUCAUCUAAGUUGUACUUAUAAAACAUAUCAUUGUCUCUUGCAAAAAAAUAUCAUUGUUUUACUGUACUAUAUAUUAAAAUGGAUUUCAUAAUAUGAUCACAUAUUUUUAGAAAAUAAACGUUUUUAUUUAUUUUUUGAAUAAAAGAACGAAAAUUAGUUCUGAUAUAAAUUUUAUACCUUUUCAAUAAGUAGAACUAAAAAAAAAAAAAGAUUUCUCUAAAUCGAAAGGUUUAUUUUAGUUUGAUAAUGGAAGCCAUAUAAAAAUAAUUUAAUAUAUUCUAAUCAACGUUAGUGUUUGAUUUUUAGUUUUUUUUGAAUUGUACGUGUUCCUAGUGAAAGCAAAUUAAAAGAUAGCCACGCAUAAGGUACGUUGAAGAACCGAAGAUGAACAAAGUUGUAAAGCUGAAGAAGAAGAAAUUUAAUGAAGAGGUUGUAUUUGUAAUUUAAUCAUUCAAUAAAUAAAGUUAUUAGUGGUUCCAUUCCAUUCCACCCAAAUUGGAGGGUAGCCAAAAUGUAAGUAAGUAAUGGAAUAUGAUGGAAUGAAUGCCAUUGGGUUCCAUUCCAUUCCAUCCUUUUAAUGACAAUCCAAACAAUGGAACAGUAAUUUAUUCCAUCCCAUUCCAUCUCAAACCACCAAUCCAAACAUAGCCUAAGGCAAUGGGUUUAUGGGUCCUCUUACUUAUAAGGUGUUCAGCUUUUACUUUUCUAUCCGAUGUGAGACAUAUAACUCACACUUGCACACAACACAAGUAAACCAACCCUAAUUUAUACUAACAAAAAUCCACUUAUCAUGAGCGCAACCCAUUGGCUUGUGAUAUGACAUUGUGCUUCUCCUCAAGGUCCCAUGUUGAUUCUUUCCGGUGUCAAUUUGGAUAAUCUAGUUUAACUUCUUAAAAAAAAAAAUCCUAGAGAACUCAUGUACGGGAGUGAAACCAAGUUACAAAAAAUAUGAUAAGGGAACAUUGCAAAGAACAAAUAGGGUUUCAGUUUAGCGAAUGGAUCGACCACCAACACGAUAUAAAAAUCCAUGUGCCAAACUCUCUGAACGCAACAACAAGCAUAAAAGCUCUUUCAAGCAUUAAUACAUCAUGGUGGAGGUAUACAUGACGCCUUGAAGCAUGCAUAUCUUAACAACUCUGAAAGAUCAGAGAAACAAAGAUGUCAGACCACCAAACACAUGUUUUAAUCAGAUGCGUAAGAACACAGAUCGAGGGAUGAGUCCAAUACGUUAGUAACCAAAUAGACAUUUUGUGGUUAAUAGAACCACCAACAGAGAAGAUCCAUCAAACACGAACAAGACCAACAAAUCUGCAAAAAGAAAUAAAAAAACCCAAAGACCAGCCAAAAUAAGUGAUGAUCCGAGGACCUCCAACGAUGGAACUUGCACGAAACCUCUAGUAGACACAAACAUAAUCCAAAACAAACCAGCUCGAAACUAGCAGCUUUGGAUCAACGAGCUAUGAUCCAGCACCAAAACUCAAACCUAGAUCCGAGUUCCAAGAUCUAGAUUGAAAUCAACAACCUCCUUGUUCCAUACAAACGGCGGUGAAACUACAAUAAUUGUCUGCAUUUUACCACAAUAUUAUGUUUGUAGCGAAAUUACAACUGAUUCUGUAAUUUCUCUAAGAGGUUGAAAUAGCUUGAACUCGAAGAGGUUGAACCCUCUUUAAUGUUAACCCAAAUUGCUCUUCUAUAUUCAUGUCUUCUGGUUUUAAUCCAUCAACAAAUGUCCAUUCAAAAUUGCGUAGAAGGGAUGUCACAAUUAAAUGCACUACCCUAUGAGCCAAUGGCAAUCAUGGAAAAAUUCUUUUGCCUGCCCCAAAGGGUAUAAGUUCAAAAUUAUUACCCUUAUAAUUAAUGUCACACUCCAAAAAUCUUUGAGGUAUGAAUACAUUUGGAUUUGCCCAAACGGUUGGGUCUCUUCCCAUGGCCUACACAUUGACUAAUAUUUGUGCAUUUUUCGACACAUUGAAACCUAAUACUCCCUCCGGUCUCAAAUGUAAGAAACAAAACAAAAAAAUUGUUGGUCUCAAAUGUAAGCAAAAGUAUACAAAAGUCAUCCUAUUAAAUGUUACUAUUCCAAUUUUAACCUCAUUUACUUUAUCCAAUUUGUUUCACAUUCUCAUGUUUAACGCAUUCCAAAGAUUUUUCAUUGGUGGAAUUCAAAAGUCAUGUUUCCAAGACAAGGGCAUAACAGGAAAAAUGAUAUUUUUUAUAAUGACUCAAUCCACUUUCUUAAUAUGUGUGAUAUUUUUUUUGUUUCUUACAUUUAAGACCGGAGGGAGUAUGUUCACAAUUUCAUCACUUUAUUGGGUACCAAAAAUGGAGCUGGUGGGUGCAACCGAAGAGUUUCCUUCACAACCGCUUGUAAAAAAGGCAACUUAAAUGUAUGUGAUUCUUCAAUUGUUUCAUCUUUACCAAUUGCUUCACAUAACUCUUUUCUUGGUUUUUUUUAAUGUGUUUGGGUUACAUAGUAGCUCUGCCAUAACCCACUCAAUCGUCCUUGAUGAUGUGUCAAUCCCGGCAACAAAUAAAUCAUAACAAAACACCAAUUCACAAAUUCAAUUAAAUUUAUCCCACGGUAUUAGCAAAAGGUGAGGAUUAAAGAUUAAAUGAUGCAAAUAAAAUAAGACAGUGAAAAAUAUGAAAUAAAGUUUAUUGAUUCAAAUUGCAUAUCAACGAAUAUAUCACUAAACCACUUGAGUUAGCUUGAUGGUGUUGUCUUAAGAUAUAAGAGUGUGCUACUCCUCAAGAUUUCAGGUUCGAUUCUUUCCGGUGUUAAGGUUCAAUUCUUCCUGGUGUCAAUUUGGGUUGUCCAAUUUACCUUCUUUAGAAGAAAAAGAAAAGAAUAUAUCAGUAACUUUUUGUGAGUAAACCAAUUUUUUUUUUUUGUAUGCAACCAAAGUUACCUCUCAAUUGUUUAUUGAUGUACCACCUUGUAUUAACGACUUAUUAUCUAAUAAAAUAAAUCGAAUUUAUUUUCCUUAUUAUUAUUUUUUUGUACCUUUUAAAGAGGUCUCAAUAAUCGGAGGUUAACCAAGAACCAAGUAAAGUCUACUAAAUAAUUGUUUUAAUUAGAAUUUAAAUUCAAUUUUACCAAACGAUAUUAAAAAAAAAUGGCUUUGAGGUUAGAUGUUGUAUAACCCACUGAUAGUGGAAUGGAGAGAUCAUUCUCUCCUUAAUAAUAGAUCAUUGGAAAUUGUAAAUUGUAGGAACGAAUAUAAUUAAUUGUAAAUUGUAUAAUACAAAAAAAAUUACUCUAAUAAUAUGUCAAAAUUAAACUCUUAUAAUUUUUGGAAAAAAAAUUAAUCAGUGGAAAAAAUAGUAAUUACUCAUUGGAAAACCAACACUAACCAGAAACAGACAUAACAUUUUAUUGCGACUCAAUUGCGAAGUAGUUUCGCCAAUAUUGUUGUUAUUGAGAAGUGAAUCUAACCCAUCAUUGCAAACCUCAUCAGCUUUGGAAGCUCUUGAACAAAUUCUUUCUUCAAUAAUUCCAUAAAAAAUAUCACAUAACUUCUUCAUGUAACUGGUCAUCUUUGCAUGCACACCUUGUGGAUCAAAGGGACGAAGAAUUGGAAAGAAAUCUGAAACAUUAGGCUUACCAGCUUUUUCCAUGAUACCCCAAAUAAUGUUUUCAAACUCUUUAGACUUCAUCAUGUGUUAAAUGAGCCAAAUCAAUAGAGAACAAAGUGUUUGAAAUUGAAUUAAAGAAAGUUGUAAAAACAGCAUCACCAAUAUCAAAAACUUCACCUUUGUAGCCUUUUUCUUUCACAUAAUCCAAUUAAUUCUUUUAACUUUUGAUUGGUCGGUUUGAAUUCAAAAUAUUAAUUUGACUGUAAGUUUUGGUUUGUAAGUCAUAUUUUAUGGCCAUAAAAAUGAUUUGGCAAAAACUCUAGUUAGUUUUUUUUAUGCUUUUCACGGUAAAAAAUAUUGGUCAGUUUGAAAUCAAAAUAUUUGGAAUGUCUAUUUUCAGAGUUCAAGUGCUGCUUGUAAUAAGUAUACUUUUCCAGUUUUUUCAUGAUCAAUUUAAUUUACUCUUGCCUUAGCUAAGUUUAUUUUUUCUUUCUUUGUAUGUAUUUUAUUUUUCUUAACAUAUAUAAUAUAUGGCCCCAUAAAUGUUAAUAUCAUGUAUUGUCAACAUAAUGAACUGUCUUGAAUACAAAAGAAACAGGAACAGUCAUUAGAAAUAGAAUACAAUAUUAAAGAAUUUUGAUAAACCAUAGAAAUAGAACAGAAUACAAUAAUACAUAGAAUACAUAGUAAAUAGCCAAUUGUCUUGCUAAAUUCAUUAUUCCUAUUUCUUUUGUCAACAUAAUGAAUUUUUCUUAACCAUAUAAAUCAAAAUUCAUAAUUUUUCUUAAUAUAUGGCCACAUAAAUGUUAAUAUCAUGUAUUUUUUUGAAUACAAAAGAAACAGGAACGUGUUUCUGCUAUAUGAUAUACCAUUUUGUAGCUCAAUUUAUCCUUCGUGGUUGAAUAUAGAUUGUAGUACUCAACAACUACAUAACAUUUUUAGAGGUCUGAGUGACUACACUACAAAUCAUAAUUGCAGUCACAUAGAUUGUAGCUGUGUGCAUUUUACCACAGUAUAUAGAUUUUAACUGUAAGUGCAACCCCAAUUGUGUUGAUAGUAGCCACAAUUUAAAUUCAUGGUAGUGACACAAUCACAAACAUUAAUUAAUUAUACUCGAAUUUUCACUUCAAACAUAUCCUCAAUCAGCACUGCCACGUGACCAAAGCCAUCCCAUGUUAGCAAAAAAGUGGAGCCAGAAACCUUUUUAAAACAAAAAAGAAUUUGCAGGGAUGUUUUUAAUUUUUUUUUACAAAGACGAAAAUCAAAACGCGUCCAAAUUACAAAAACGGAAUGCAUAUUUAAGCUUUUUACAAAUAAUUGACAAGUAGCAAAAAAAGAAAUGAUCACUUGAUAGUAAUUUCCCUUGCAAUUCAAUUUCUAAAGUCUAUAGUAGAUUAAUUUAAAAUAAUAAGUGCUACAAUACCACUACAUGUUCAAAUUGUCUCCUCCUUCACUAAUUUGUGUCUAUCCCUCUCUUAAUUUUAUUUUUUAUUCUUCUCUCUUAAUCUUCUCACUAAAAUAUAAUAAGAGAUAGAUAUAACUUGAAAGAGGAAAAAAAGAGAAUGAGGGAAAGGAGAGAUCUAAAUUUGCAAAUCUUGCAAUUAUAUGGAUUCUAGCUCUUCGUUAUAUUCAAUUAUUUAUCAUAGAAAGAUGUUUAUUACCCAAAUCAUUAGAUGGCUAUUACACCAUCACUUAUUAAGAAAUUACAGGGACCACAUGUUUAAAUUGCAGUAUACAACAACAAUACAGUUUUAAAGGUCUUACAAACAGCUACAUCCUUCGGUCACUAUUAUAACCAAAAAUCUACAUUUUAGAUUCAUUCAUUUAAUGAUGCACAUAAUUUUUAUUAUAGACCAUAUACAUCAUUAAAUGAAUGAACUCAAAAUAUUUUUUUUUACUUAUAUUAGUGAUCAGAGGGUGUACAUUGCAACCACCACAACAAUAUAUGCAAUAUAUCGAAUGCAUAUGUUUGCAUUUUAGCACGACAUAAAAGGUUUGAAAUGUAAUUGAAACCGUCCGCAACUUCAUGGCAGAUAUGUCAGGAUCACAAAGACGCAUUGUUAUUUUCCAAAAGCUAUAAUUUGUAACUUCAAUAAAAUCACGAUGGGUCGCCGUGAUUCUAACUUAUCCACCAUGAUACAAAACGUUCACAUUUAUCCUUCAAACAUAUCUACCUAUGCUGAUGAAAUAGCUUGAACUCGAAGAGAUUGGACCCUCUUUAAUGUUACCCCAAAUCGCUCAUCCAUACUCAUGUCUUCUGGAUUUAACCCAUCAGCAAGUGUCCAUUCAAAAUUGCGUAGAAGGGAUGCCACAAUUAAAUGCACACUCCUAUGAGCUAAUGGCAAUCCUGGGCAAAUUCUUUUGCCAGCCCCAAAUGGUAUAAGCUCAAAAUUGUUACCCUUAUAAUUAAUGUCACGCUCCAAAAAUCUUUCAGGCUCAAACUUAUUUGGAUUUUCCCAAAUAGUUGGAUCUCUUCCCAUGGCCCACACAUUGACUAAUACUUGUGCAUUUUUUGGCACAUUGAAGCCUGAUAUGUUCAAAUUUUCAUCACAUUUGUGGGGUAGCAAUAAUGGAGCUGCGGGGUGCAACCUAAAGGUUUCCUUCACCACUGCUUGUAAAAAUGGUAACAUGGAAAUAUGUGAUUCUUCAAUUGUUUCAUCUUUACCAAUUUCUUUACAUAACUCUUUUCUUGCUUUUGCUAAUUUUUCAGGAUUACCUAAUAGCUCUGCCAUGACCCACUCAAUGGUGCUUGAUGUAGUGUCGGUACCAGCCGUAAAUAAAUCCUAAUAUGGAAAAUUACUAUUAGCAAAACCUUGAAAGAAAAAUAUGAAAUUAAUAAACAAAUUUUAUUGAUGUAAAUGAAUAUCUAUAGAUUCACUUGCUGAUUUUUUCUAGAAAGUUAAAAUUGAAAUUUGUAUCAAAAUCGACUAAUAUCUAUUGUGGUCUAAACCAAAAGGAAAAAGAUAGGUAGACAUCUUUUUUCAUACACCUCUUAUGUACACCCCCAUAUGUUAAGGGUAUUUUAGUAAUUUUACAUCAUAUCAUCACCCUUUUUCAUCUCUUCUUUCAAUGUUUUUGCCACGUGUCGCAAAUGUGUGUGGGUGUAAAAGGGUGUAUGCCACCUAAGGUAGUUUAUGUAUAAGAGCUCAAACCAAAAAUAUCCGGAUAUCAAAUCAGUCAUAAUUGUUUUGGGAAUUUUUUUUUUUAUCUGUAUAAGAAAAAACCAAAAUCUGAUUUCUGGUCCAAACUAAAAAAUUGAUUUUAAUUCAACAGUCAAACUAAGGCAUUAUAGAAAAGAAAAAAAUAAAACUCAACAUCAAGGCUUAGUAGAAAAAUCAUGGGUCCACUACAGAGCAAAAUAUUCUAUGACGAUAUAUUAUUUUAGGAAAUUACACCCUCUUUUUUUUAGAGUUGCUUGAAUUAUCCUUCUCUUUUUUCUUAUGUUAAAAUAUAGAGUAAAUAACACUCUAAUUCUCUCAAAGAUGCUUGAAUUACACUCCCCUCUCCUCUUAUGUUAAAAUAUAUACUUUUCUCCCCUCUUUUUCAAAACAUAUUAAAAAAUAUUUCGCUCCCCACCCCUAAGAGAAACAUGAAUUACAUUCCCGUCCCCACUUAUGUUAAAAUCUACACUUUACUCCAUCAAUGUUUUUUUUUUUUAUUUCUAAUAAUCUAGCAAAAUAAUAAUAAUCUAACACACUUCGGGAAAAAAUAGAAUUGCGGUUCUAUUUUAAUAUAGUAAAAAUUUGAAUAUAUAUUUUUUGCUAUUUUUUAUUCAAAAUUUCAUUAACAUAUACUUUUAACCCAUAUUAUAAUAUAUGAAACAACCCAAAAUAAAAUUAAAAUAUGUGAAAAAUUACUAAAUACAAUAAAUUAUGGUUAUUUAAAAGUUAUUUUUAUGCUUUAAAUUAUAAAGUUAAUAGCGAAAAAUUUAAAUUUAAUUAUUAUUGGCAUUUAAAUUAUAUAUAAAUGAAUUUAUUUUUCUUAAAUGGUGGUUCAAAAUUAGUAUAUAUCAUAAAUAUAUUUAUUUAUGUUAAAAUAGAUUAAAGUGUAGUGCAUAUUUAUUUAUAAAGGGAUGAGUUUGUAAUUCAAGCAUCGUAUAAGGGAGGGGAGUAUACAUUUUAAUUUUCAAGGGAGGGGAGUGUAUAUUUUAACAUAAGAGGAGAUGAGAGUGUAAUUCAAGCAUCUUUUAGAGGAGGGGGUUGUAGUUUACUCUAAAAUAUAUACACUUUACUCUCUUGAAAAGUCAAUACCGUGAGUAAAUUAUAUCUUUCUUUCCUAUGAGAUGCCUGAAUUGCAACCCUCUACCUUAAUAAUUAAAGAUGCACUACACUUCAUUUCUUUUUAACAUCUUGAGAAGUCACAUAUUACAUCUUUUUUACAAGAAGACAUAUAUUAUAUCUUUAUCUCUGGUGGUAUAUCCAAAUACUCAUGUUUGUAUUUUAUAUUUGUCUGUUGUGUACUAAAUGCUUUGGCAUUUGCCAAUCGAUAAAUACCAAUAUUUAUUACUUUUAUAGUAUUAGGGCUUGACCUUUAAAAUUUAUGUUUCAAAACGAGAAAAUUGUGUGCAAUUCGUGCUAGGCAUGGCAAUGGGUGGGGUGCGGAUGGGUUUUGCUUUUCUCAUUCCCAUUAUACCCAUAUGGUCAUAUCCAACGGAAAUGAGAAAUUAAAUCUCAUCUCCGUCCUCAAUGAGUUUGGAUAUUUCCGCCCCAUCCCCGUCUCCAUAGUGAAUCAAUUUUUUUUUUAAUAAAAAAAGAAUUUUAUGAAGCUUCAAUGGUAAUGUUGUAAUGCAUUAUGUAAUCAUUUGCGCUCAUUUUAACAUUUCCUUAUCAAAAAAUUUGGUUGCUCCUUCAACUAUCAAUGAAUGUUCUUAUAUCAUGACAAUUAUCAAACUAAAUAACAUGACAUAUCAUUAUCAACCCCUCAAUAAAAACAAAAACAUGACAUUUCUACAUUCGGGUAGGGUUUGGGUAUGAGUUCGGGGUAGAUACAUAUAUUCCCGUUACCCGUCCCGUACCCGUAUUUUGAAAUCAGGGAGAACCCAAACCUAGACAAAUCGAGGAAAACUCAUCAAAUCGGGGUUGGUUUGGGCGGAUAUCCAUGGACACGGGUUUUGUUGCCAUGCCUAAUUCGUGCCAUAUAGCAUUUCAAAUAGUUAGAAAAGUCCCCUUGACAAAAAAAGAAGAAGAAGAAAGUCCAAAUGUAUGUAGUUUUUUUUGGUAGUGUAAAUGUAUGUAGUUGAAUUCGACCACUAGUUGCCAACACAAAUUUCUCUUCCCACUAACAAAUUAACUAUCAUACGCCAAUUUAAAAAAAAAAAAAAAUAGAAAAAUAACUAGAUUGUGAUUUAUGUAAUUCAGUUAUUAAAAAACAAAUACUAACCUGAAAUAAAUGCACCAUUUCAUUGCGGCUCAAUUUAUUAGUGGUUUCUUCAAUAUUGUAAUUAAGAAGUGAAUCUAACACAUCAUUGCACACCUUAGAAUCAGAAUUGGAAUCUCUUGAACUAAUUCUUUCUUCAAUUAUUCCAUCAAAAAUCUCACACAACUUUUUCAUAUGAUUGGUAAUCCUUGCGUGUAUUCUUUGUGGAUCAAAAGGACGAAGAAUUGGAAAGAAAUCUGAAACAUUAGGCUUACCAGCUUCUUCCAUGAUACCCCACAUAACGUUCUUAAAUUCUUGAGACUUUUCAUCAGGUGUUGAAUGAGCCAAAUCCAUAGAACACAAAGUGUUUGAAAUUGAAUUAAGGAUAGUUGUAAAAACAGCCGCACCAAUAUCAAAAAUCUCACCUUUCUUACUUUUUUCAUUCACAUAAUCUAAUAAUUCUUGCAACUUUUGUUGGCGAAGGAUUUUUGUUGAGUCAAGUACUUUUGUAGAAAAUACUUUUGUAGCACAAAAUUUCCUUAGUUUCUUCCAUGAAGCUAAUGUUGGAAGCAUCCCAAUUGAUAAUUUGUCAUGAUCAAGUGCACAAAGUGCAUGUGGGACAGUUCUAUUAGAGAAGAUUUGAGAAUUUUCAUGUAAAACUUGUUUGGCUAGUUGAGGUGAUGAGAUUACUAUGGUUGUUAAUGUUCCUAGUUUUAGUGUCAUAAUUGGUCCAUAGAUGUUUGAGAGAUUUGUGAGUGUCCUGUGUGGAUUUUUGCCAAGUUGUAAGAUGUUUCCUAUGAUGGGAAGUGGUUUUGGCCCUGGUGGAAGUUUUGUAGAAUUUUGAGUUUGGUUUAAUUUUUUAAAAAUGAAGAUGAGAAUGCUCGCACACAAAGAGGUAAUCACCAGUAGAAGUGUUUGGUAGUCCAUAGCUUAUUGUUUUUGCCUUUUUCUUUUAACACAUAUAUAAAUAGUAGAGCACCGAUAGAUUCGGUUCCAACACCGUCAGAAGUACGUAACAACCGGACCAAUGAUAUCUUAGGAAGAAAAAAAAAUCAUUGAUUAAAUCUCACAUGAAUACAAAAUAGGUACGUAAUAGUAUUAAAUAUAUUUACACCUCAGUCCUUAGAGAGAAAAAAAUUCAUUGACUAAAUCUCACAUGAAUACAAAAUAGAUAGUGCUAUUAAAUAUACUUACACCUCAUUUCUUAAAUAUAGGGUUAAUAGUGUUUUUCACCCCUGUAAUAUAUGUUAUUUCUGAUUUUCGUCCCUAUAAAAUUUUCAGUUUGAUUUGCACCUUCGUAAUUUUUUUUCUUCGGAAAACACCCCUAAUAAGCCAUUUUCAGAAUUUUUUUUCAAGAAAUUAUUGUUUUUGAAUGGCCUAUUAAGGGUGUUUUCCGGUAAAUAAAAUUUUUACGAGGGUGCAAAUCAAACCGAAAAUAUUAUUGGGGCGAAAACUGGAAAUGACAUAUAUUACAGGGGUGAAAAGCACUAUUAACCCUUAAAUAUAUAUAUAAAAAAAUCAUUGACUAAAUCUCACAUGAAUAAAAUAUAGGUACGUUAAAAAAUAGGUACGUAAUAGUAUUAAAUAUGGAGUAAAUAGUCAAUUCCCCCCUGAAAUUGUAAGUUUCGUCAAUUAUCCCUCUGAAAUUAACAAAACUUCAAUCACCCCCCUGAAAUUGCAUAACGUUAAUCAAUUUACCCCUCCGUCAGAUUUUUCUGUUAACUGUUUACGGUUAUGAUCAAAUACACCCCCUGAAAUUUUGCACUUAUGUGCAAAAUGCCCCAUAAACUUAAAAAUUUAGAUUUUUUUUCUUACCAAAAAUCAUACAUUUAGUUCUUCAAGUAGUAUAUUGUACCUAUUGUCAUAAAAAUUCUAUUCACAAGAAAAUGAAUGAAUAUAUGUCAAAGAAAUCAUGGUUUUGUCAUGUGCAGCCUUUUCAUUCAUAUUUCAUAUUUAUCAACAAGUCUUGUUUCUUCUUCCUUCUGCAGAUAUUAACCUAUGAAUUUUCUUGUUGGACACACAAUUAUCAAAGACUUGUGUACUUUAUGACUGCAUACUCUAACAUAACUAUCAACUUGUGUAAAAAAAAAAAAGUCUUUUAUACAUGUAUAUAUUUAAAACACAUGAGAGUAACAUACCUUCCAUAAAGAUUUAUCAGCAAUGCUAUAUGGUACGAAAAAAUGCACGUACGGAAAUAGACGAAUGCCCAACUUGUCCAAUUUUUAUGAAAUUAAAAACUGAUAUAGUAUGCUUUGACGGAAAUCAUGGGUAAUGGCUAAUAAAAAGCUUGGCAAUUAUAACAUGAGAAGUAUUGAAAACAACCAAUUUACAGAAUACAUGGCUGAAUGGCAAGCAAUAACUACUUUCGUUAAUUUUCGUGCUCACCGUCCCGUACUAUUUAUCAUUAUCCAAGAUUUAUAUGACCAAUAGUUGCAUAAACAUACAUUCCAUACAUAUUUAUAUGAUCAAUAAUUGUUAAUUUGUUUGUCUUUAAUAUCUUUUAAGUCAAGGAUAAAAAAAAUAAAUUUUUAAAGUUUAGGGGGCAUUUUGCACAUAAGUGCAAAAUUUCAGGGGGGGGUAUUUGAUCAUAACCGUAAACAGUUAACAGAAAAAUUUGACGGAGGGGGUAAAUUGAUUAACGUUAUGCAAUCUCAGGAGGGUAAUUGAAGUUUUGUUAAUUUCAGGAGGAUAAUUGACGAAACCUACAAUUUCAGGGGAAAAAUUGACUAUUUACUCAUUAAAUAUGCUAACAAGUGUAUAUGACUUCAACAUAUAUGAGAUUUAGUAACAAUUCAAAAUUGCAACUAAAUCAAAAACAAAUGUUACUAUUUAGAUCUUGUAACAUUUCACAAAUGUUAGGUAAAGCCCGUGUUACUAAAUGAUUUCAGUAACACUUGUGAGUUUACUUGUAACGCUUAAAAUGUUACUUACUAAGUAGCUAAUUUGUAGCAAAUCUAUAGCUAACAGUUUUAGGAGCAAUUGUAGCAAAUUUUGUUGCAUAAAUAUUACUGAAUGGUGAAGACUUUUCUUUUAUUUUAAAAUUUAAAAAUAUUAUUCAUCGUCGAGAGGAUGAAAGAUACACCAAAAACUCGCAGAAAGCAAUAGAAAAUUACAUAAAGGCACCAAAAAAAGGCGUCACGCCUAAGCUCCUAAAGAAUCAUGAGCCGAGGUGGUAUACACCAGCUGCCUAAUUACAAAGACCAAAUCCAGCAAUGUACCAAGACAAACCAAGGUACUACCACCAAAAGAAUACCCCUGCCUCCCAAUUCCCAAAAGUAUAGAUUAUCAUUUCUGUGGCACUGUUUUGCGCGCAAUUGAUUGGAAUUAGAAUGUUAACAAAACCAAGGGUGUUUUAUUAGUAGCUCAAUUCAAUACAAUUAUUAUCAUUUAUAUAAUGGGUCGCCAAAAAUAGCAUAAAUAAUCCUACGAUAAACCAGUUUUAUUAUUGCAUGCAUUAGCAGAUUCACUUAUAAGGUUUAUAAAGUUCACUUUAGUUAUACUUGUAGAAUAUUGGUCACUAGUUUAUACGGUUCACUUUAUUAAAAAAAAAAAAGUUUAAAAGAAUCACUUAUUUAUUUAGCAGUAGCAGCAGUAACUAUUUGUUCAACAUUAUUUAGCAGUAUAUCUAACUCAUUUAUUUUAUAUGGCUUGUGAAAAUGCUUUUUAUUCCAUCUUUUUCAUGCAAUUUCUUGUCGAUUAGUUUCAGCGUGGAUCAAUCAACUUUUGGUUUUUCGAAACUUUUCAAUCAAAAUACCAAUAAAAAAUAACCGUGAUAUUGCUAAAACAAAACUUUGCUCUAAAUAAAUAUUCCAAAUCAUGUGGGAAACUUCAGAAUGCAACAGAAAUAUUAGAGUUUAUACGUCUUACUACUUUAUUUGAAACUUCCACUAACAAAGUUUCAAAGAUAAGAAUUCAGUUAACUCUCCAUUUCACACCAUGUACCAAACAUUCUUAAAUCUUAAUCAUUAGUUAGAAGAACUAAUGCAGCCCUAGCUCAGGAGAAGUUCUAGGAAAGAGCUGGAAGUUGAAAUACUUGUAAAUUCAUUCAAACCCUUAUCUAUGCCAACGAGAAAGAAUGAGUGGUCACUUAUUUAAUCUCCAAAAUCAAAUUAUUUUAGUUUGAUUGCUUCCAAUUAUAUAUGCAAGUAGUUCAAUUGAAACAAUUACUUAUGUUUGUUUCUUGUAUUUUGAUAUUGUCUUAUGUGUACAGGUAAGUUGGUUUUAUUCUGGACGGAAAAAUUUGUUUUUCACUAUUUAAUUUAAUCAAUAAAUCUUAUUUAAUCUUAUGUAAUUUGGUUUCUACUUUCUAGUUUUAAGUUUUUACUCUUUUUGUUAUUACAUGCUUACCGUAAACAUCAAAUUAAGAUUAUGUAUGACUAAAAAUAAAUGGUAUUCGAUUCAUGAAUUCGUUCAAAUUGAUAGAGUACAUCGUUACAAUACAUAUUUACUAAAUAUAAAAAGGAUGAAUAUGCAAACAAACUCACAACAUCCAUGUGAAUAGAAUAAAAUGUCAAAGUACAUGAGCGUAGAAAUACGACUAUAAUUAAGUGUCUAGAAUGCCUAUGUCUCUGAAUGUGUAACGUUGAAGACACCAUACUCAUUGAUUGGUUAUGCACAAGAUCGAAGCUGAUCUGACAAGAACAAACAUCGUAAAUAGAUGGAAAAGAAAAAUAACAUCACAUAGAGACGGAAAAACAAACUAAGAUCGCACUACGACGACAAAAUCACGUAAGAAAAAACUAAAUAGAUGUGAAAAUUAUUUAUUUAAAUAAAAGAGAAUGAGAAAAAAUUAUUUAUUAUUAUAAUUAUUAUUAUUGUUAUCAUUCUUAGAGUUACUAACAGACAUUUUACAAUUGUCUCAUAUGUGAUUUGAACUAUUUCCUAAAAAAUGUUUAUUUGUGUUUUUCUAUAAUAGUAAAAUUAUUUGUUUUAUGUAGUCUCUCGUUUACCACAUUAAUUAAAAUCAGAUAUUUUGAAGAAAAAACAUACUAAAAGCAACGUAUCAUUUUAAUAAAAGUUUAUUUUUUUUAUUCAUUUUCAAAAGCUUAUUUUUUUACAAUUUUUUUCAAAAAGAAUGAUAUAAUAUAUAUAUAUGUGAAGUGAAUAUGUAGUAAUUAAUGUGACGAUUUAUAUAUAGCAAUUUUAAAUUAACUUUAUACAUUUUCAUUAAAUAUUGUUGAUAGGUCGAAAGAAAAAGAACACAAAAUUUGAAUACUUUAUGAAUUAUAGCAUUAAACUAUUAUUUAUUUUUUUGUAUAUAUAUUAACUUCACAAACCAUACAAAAAUCACUGCAUAGUCUCAAAAUGGAAGAACUGAAGAUGAUGAUUGAUAGUCUCAAAAUUCAAGAACUUAGAUAUGACGAAUUAAUAAAAUUGAAAGCACUCUUAUUGAAGCUCCGAAAGAUAGUGAUGGAUGAUAUCUCAAUCAGAAGAGGAGAGAUUGCUUCACAUGGUAAGGGAUAUGGUAUUAGAUAUAUAUGUUAUAGCUUUUAUUUAGUAGUAGUAGGAUAUCAAAUGAUUUAAUUCUUGCUUAUUGUUCUUAUUUUUAUGAGUAGAAAUCAAACUCAAUCAGGAUAUGUUUGCAAUACACAAAUACACUGCAUACUAAUUGAUCACUUUUGUUUGAUCAAAAUGGAUGUUUAUUUAGAGUGUGGAAGUUGUAAGAUAAUAUGAAAUACACACUAUUGAUCAUGGAAAAUAUUUAGUAGUAACGUGAUUUUGGACACAAUUUGUACACACGCGUAAAAAUGCAUAUGACAUAAUUAUUUGAGAAAUAAACAAUUUUUUUUUUUAUCUUUCUAUCUUUUUAUUUUAUUUUUGUAAGUAUGCCUAAAACUUGUGAUCACAUGUUUUUGAGAGAUGAUUUAUAAGUAAUGUUAGUUGCUCUCUCAAAUGACCAUGCUUAAUCUAUUUUCUCCUUUUCUUUACGUUGCAUAUCUUAUCUCCUUGUUUUUUAUACAUUUGAAUAUUUUAAUCAUGUAGGCAUGAAAGGAAAAUAUGUUGUUGCGGAGGAUACCCCAGCGAAUAACUCUCUUGUUUUGUUUUAGUCAAUAAUGUGGGUCCCAUUGAUGGGAUUCAAACUAUUAUAUGUUUUGGUUAAGUUGUGUUUGGUUAUGUUUAAUGUGUACCGGUACAUUGGUUUUGUACUAAGGACGAACAAGUUUGAUUUUUACUAUUCAAUUUAAUCAAUAAAUCUCAUUUAAUUUAUUUGUGAGAUUUAUUGAUUUAAUAGUAAAAAUAAACUUGUGCGUAAUGCAAAACAUAUCUCAUAUAUACAUCAUAAAAUAAAUUUUUAUUUGGUUAUAUUAUGUGAUUUGGUUUCUAGUUUUAAAUUUUUAAUAUUUUUGUUAUUAUUUUGAUGCUUACCAUAAUUAAACAUCAAAUCAAGAUUAUGUGUGAUUAAAAACCUCCAUCAAACAUAUUUUUCACAGACACGCAAUACAUUAUAUAUGCAUCAUCACCGUAAGAGUAAAUAGCUCCAUUAAAUAACAAUUGAUAAGCCACAUCCACUAAUAGACAUAGUGCAUUUGAGGCGUAUAACUCAGUUAGUUAGGGUUUCUUGGAUCAUAUGUUGAGACAUUGAUGAUAAAAUUGUGUCAUUUCUUUAUGAACAAAUUAAUGAUAUACAUUUAUUAAAUGAAAAUUUCAUGAAUAAAAAUGAAAACUAUGAUAUGAUUGAAACACAGCCUGUUGUAGUGUCAAUUCAUAUUAAUCACUUCAAAUGAAUAAUAUUCCAUAUGCAAUUUCACAAGUGUAUAUCCUCUAGAAAAAUUGUAAUUGAGUGCUUAGAUAUGGAGACAUUGGGAGAUUUAUGAUGAGUUGGAGAUAUCCAAACCAUGGUGUAUGAAUCGAAGAGAAGAGGUAGCCAGAUAAAUGAAAGUUAUUUUUUUUUUUUUUUGAGAUAAAUGAAAGUUAUUGAAAAUAUAACUUUUGAAUAAACAUGAAAAGAAUAAUGAUUAUUGAGUGAAGGUGUUUUGAAGAAGCGAAACAGUAGCCACAAAGAAGAGGGAAAUUAAAAGAGUUCAUAGUAGUGUGAGUGAAAGUGUGAGAGUUAACAUAGAUAUUUAAUUCUUAGUGUUAAAUUUAAAACUAGAGUUAGGGGUUGUUUUAUUAUCUAUUAAAACCUUAAGGGAGGUUAGUGUAGUUUUCUCAUCUUCUUUUAUUGGGAAAGAUGAUGAAACCAUUGAGGAAUCUCAUAUUUACAAGUUACCUUUCUUACAAGCAAUUGUGAAGAAAACUAUUGGAUUGCAUCCACCACCAGGUCCAUUAUUGAUAAUGUGAUGAAACUAUGAACAUUGUAGGCAUCAAUGUCUAGGCUAUGGGAAGAGAUCCCAUCAUUUGAAAAAAAUCUAAAUAUAUUCACGCCUGAAAGAUUUUUGGAGGAUGACAUUAAUUAUUAGGGUAUAAAAUUUAAUAUAUGAGAAAAUGAAUUGUGUAUAAACUAGUUUUAAACUGAUAUUAGAUAAGACCAUGUAUAAUGGGUUAUUGAAUCCUACAUUCAACAUGUUGAAGCCAUGCAAUGAGGGGUGUUGAAAGAAGGAAAAAUCUGAGUUGGAGGAGGGAAGUGUUGAAUUGAUUCAACUAGUUGAAAGCCUGGCCCAGAAGACACGUGGCGCGCUCGGAUUUGGCCAAAAAUGGCGCGUGCGUUACACGCGCCGACAGGGCGCGUGUGGGUUUGGUCCGCGGAGAGAGAAGACAGCAAUGGAUAGUGUAGUGGACACAUGGCAUUUUGUGAUUGGCUGCUUGGAUUUUUAUCUUCUUAAUAAUUUGGACUCAAUUAUUUUAUUGCAAAUAAUUUUUUUUUUUUUUUUUUUUUUACCAAAAUUCGUAAUUUUUUUUCUCUAUAAAUAGAGACUUGGAUCAUUUGAUUUGGACACAGAAAAAAAAUCAAGUUUUUCACUCUCUUAAUCUUAUUAUUAGCUUUGUAUUAGCCUUUCUUUUGAAGUUUUAGUGUUUAUUUAGUGAAAUGGGUCCCACUAACAAUCAAUUCAACACCCAAAAUUCUUCUGUUAAGUGUUUCUUUAUUUUAAUUUAAUUAUAAUCGUUAAUUGUAAUUUUAUGUAAUUAUAAAAACAAAAAUAUAAAAUUAAAUAAGAAUAAGAAAUAAAAGGUGGUGGGGUAGGGUGUUGAAUGAAAAAACUAUUGAAGAGUUAAAAUUAAAAGGGUGUUGAAUUAAGAGAGAGAAAAUGAUGUGGAGUGUUGGGAAUUAAAAAAGUGGAUGUUAAAGGUUGUUGAAUUUGGUUUACCAUUAUACAUGGUCUAAGGAUGAAAUAUUCGAUAGUUACUUUUUACUGCAAAAAAAUGAUUAUUAAAUAGACAUCUAUAACAGGCUUUUACCCACAGAUUUUGGAGGUCACUAUAGCCUAUAGUGCCGGAAUUUCUCUGUAGAACAAAAUUAAGUUUUACCUACGGAUUUGGGACAUAGGUUCAGUCCCUAAUAGAACUACAAAUUUUUAUGCCUAUGGAUUUGAGACGUAGGUAUAGAAUCUGAUGAGAACUACAACUGGUUAUUAUCUACACCUAUUUCCGUCACUACAGACUUCAGCGACACUAAUUAUUUCGUUGGUAUUUUAUUUGUAAUGUAUACUAAAAUAAAAUUUAUUUACAGUUGUGAUCAAGUAAGUUUUCCUCCUCAAUCAAUCCAAGGUGUUGCGACUAAAAGACUGCAUUUUCUUUCUAGUAGCAUCAUUCGUACAUGUUCAUAAAUAAACAAAACUUUAUCUUGAAACUAAAUAUGUCAAAGAAAUACUAUGGAAAGGGAAAUAAACCCAAGGUGUGGUCAAAAGGCCACACUGUGGUCUUUUAUUAUGAUAGGCAAUGGUUUUGAGUUUGAAAAUCAAUUUUGGGGUAAGAAGAAUGCCAAAGCAAGGAACAGAUUGAAAACAUCAUACAAUUUUAUUAUUAAACGCAAGAAUAUAAAAUAUAUUAAGUCAAACAUAACAUAGAGAUAGGUCACUUUGGUGUUAGUGGAGAUAGAUGCAGCCAAAAUAUUUGAAAAUUCAAACAUAUUUAAUUGACUUUAAAUUGUACAUAUAAUUAUGUUCAGAUUUAUAAAUGUUACUAUAUGCAUAUUUUGGUAUAAAUUAAUUGUAAGAUAGGACAAAGUGGCAAACCACAAGAAAGACAUAGCUCUUCAUUAAAAGUUUUCACGCUGCUACAUUAUAGCAACUAAUUAAAUUGAAAGAGACGCAUAUCAUCACCAUCAGACUCAGUUUAUGCACAUGUCAACAUGUGAAAAAUAAAAUUCUUGUUAUAAAAGCAUAAGCAUGUGGUUCAUGCACAACUAAUAAUAAUUGAAGUUGAAGUCCACGGAGAAUCAAACAUAACACUUCUACAAUGUCACUUUAUUAUGUUUGGAUUCUCUAGAGCGUCCAACACAGUUUUUGGAUGAAGGUGCUCUUAGAUCUGAAUUUGAAAACUAUGAUUGUGCAACAAUCACAGAAGAUGUUGUUAUAUGACUAUAACAACUGAAUAUAACAAUUUUAGUGAUCUCACCAAUGAUAUCAUGAUCGCAACUGCAACGAAAUCGAUUGAAUUUGUUUACAUACCACAAUAUAAACUAUUUUGGAGUGUAAUUACAACCGCGAUUGCAAGUGCAAUUUACAACAACAUUCGUGACCCAACCAUAAACCAUAUACUCUUUUACCCUUCUCCUUAGGCUGAUGAAAUAGCUUGAACUCGAAGAGGUUGGACCCUCUUUAAGGUUAAUCCAAAUUGUUCGUCCAUGUUCAAUUGUUCCGGUAUUAGCCCAUCAGCAAGAUUCCAUUCAAAAUUGUGUAGAAGGGAUGCCACCAUUAAAUGCAUAGUUCUAUGAGCUAAUGGCAAUCCUGGACAAAUUCUUUUGCCAGCUCCAAAGGGUAUAAGCUCAAAAUUAUUACCUUUAUAGUUAAUGUCACACUCCAAAAAUCUUUCAGGUGCAAACAUAUCUGGAUUUUUCCAAAUGGUUGGAUCUCUCCCCAUAGCCCACACAUUGACUAGUACUUGUGCAUUUUUUGGCACAUUAAAGCCUAAUAUGUUCACAAGCUCAUCACAUUUGUGAGGUAACAAUAAUGGAAUUGGUGGGUGCAACCUAAAGGUUUCUUUCACAACUGCUUGUAAGAAAGGUAACUUGAAAAUGUGUGAUUCUUCAAUGGUUUCACCUUUGCCAAUUGUUUGACAUAACUCUUUUCUUACUUUUGUUAAUUUGUCAGGAUUACGUAGUAGCUCUGCAAUAAUCCAUUCAAUUAUGCUUGAUGUUGUGUCAAUCCCAGCAACAAAUAAGUCCUAACAAAACAUGAUUUCCAAAUUUAAUUAUUAAAUAUAGCCUAUGAUAUUAAAAAAACUGAGGAUUAAUGAUUGAAAAAUAAGAAAGUAGUAAAACUUAUUGAUUUAAAUGUAUAUUCAUAGAGUGGUCCAAACCAAAAUUAACCGGAUAUCAAAAUAGUCAAAACAAUCAUUGAUUUAAAUGCAUAUUCAUUGAAUAAGUUGCUAAUUUUUGUGAGUAAUCAAAAUUGAAAGUGACAUGUGCCAAACAAUAUGAGCUAGUGUCUAAAGUGGUCCAAACAAAAACUAACCAGAUAUCAAAAGUCAAAAAAUGUUAUGAAAAAAUCAACACUAACCAGAAACAGAUGCACCAUCUCACUGCGGCUCAAUUCCGAAGUUGCUUCUCCAAUAUUAAUAUUAAGAAGUGAAUCUAACACAUCAUUGCAAACCUCAACAACUUUGGAGGAUCUUGAACGAAUUCUUUCUUCAAUAAUUCCAUCAAAAAUCUCACACAACUUCUUCAUAUGAUUGGUCAUCCUUGCAUACAAACCUUGUGGAUCUAAGGGACGAAGAAUUGGAAAGAAAUCUGAAAUAUUAGGCUUACCAGCUUCUUCCAUGAUACCCCAAAUAAUGGUCUUAAAUUCUUGAGACUUCUCAUCAGGUACUGUGGAAUGUGCCAAAUCCAUAGAGAACAAAGUGUUUGAAAUUGAAUUAAGGACAUUUGUAAAAACAGCUUCACCAAUAUCAAAAACCUCACCUUUGUUACUUUUUUCAUUCACAUAAUCUAAUAAUUCUUGCAACUUUUGUUGGCGAAGGUUUCUUGUUGAGUCAAGCAUUUUUGUAGAAAAUACUUUUGUAGCACAACUUUUCCUUAGUUUCUUCCACAAAUUUAAUGUUGGAACCCACCCAACUGAGAAUUUGUCAUGAUCAACUGCAGAGAUUGCAUGUGGGACAGUUCUAUUUGAAAAGAUUUGAGAAUUGUCAUGUAAAACUUGUUUGGCUACUUGUGGGGAAGAGAUCACUAUGGUUGUUAUGCUUCCUAGUUUUAAUGUCAUGAUUGGUCCAUAGAUUUUUGAGAGUUUUGUUAAUGCCUUGUGUGGAUUUUUGCCAAGUUCUAAGAUGUUUCCAAUGAUGGGAAGUGGCUUUGGCCCUGGUGGAAGUUUAGUAGAAUUUUGGGUUUGGUUUGAUUUUCUAAGAAUGAAGAUGAGAAUGGUUGCACUUACAAAGGAAAUCACUAGUAGAAGUGUUUGAUGGUCCAUGACUUAUUGCUUAUGCUUUUCCUUUUUGUGAUAUAUAUAUAUAUAUAUUCAAUCCGGUGUGUGUAACUUAUGGUAAUCUUUGGAAGCAUAAAAGUAACAACGAUCUAUAACCUUCGAGAGAUUGGGAUAUCACGUCUCGACUAAAAUCUUAAAACAUUAAAAAUUUACACUUCUGAUCACUAUUGUAAGCAAAAAUUAACAUUUUAGAUUCAUUCAAUAAAUUAUGUAUAUGGUCAUAAUAAAGACUAUAUAUAUCAUUAAUUGAAUAAAUCUAAAAUGUAGAAUUUUAUUUAUGAUAGUGAUCGGAGGGUGUAGAUCACAACUUUUAUAUCAGAAAUUGAACUACUUAUUUAGUCACAUUUAAGCACACGUUUAGACUACACAAUUAGAAGAUUUUCAAUACAAUGAUCUACUCCCUCUCUUAUCAAUUAUAAACAAAUUUCACUUUUUAAGUUCAUUUAAUUAGUGAUGUAUAUGAUCGAGAGUAAUAUACACAAGGACCUGAUACACGAAGGUUCACCACCACUCCAACAUAAAUUAACGCAUAAAAGCAAUUGUUAAAGCAUGAGGCAAGUACAAGUGCUUGGACUUUAGUGUUGAUGCAAUUAAUGUAGAGGAAUUCUGGGCAUUCUUUACUGUAGUAGUAUUAGUUACGUCUUAUCUAAAAAAACAAAAUUGAACAGGCUAAAGAUAAACACAUCGAAAUAAGUAGGCACAAGAAAUGUCAAAAGGGUUUAUCCUUUCACAUGUUUUUUUUUUAAAAAACUAGACUCUUGACCCCGCGCUGUCGCGCGGGUCUGUUAUAGUUUAUUGAGCAAUAUAUUUUGAUUACAAUCAACUCAAGCAAAUUGAAAAAUAAGUCAUUCUAGAAUAUCAUGUAUCAUUGAUCAAUGUGACAUACAUGAAUUUUUUUUAUAAGAUGUGGACAUAGCUAUCUUCCACUUCAUCAUCGAUAAUCAAUAUCUUAAAAGUUUUUCCUUGAUGUAACUCUUGACAAUGCAACAUAUAGCUACCCAUGUCAAAAAAUUGGUUGAGGCAAAUACAUACCUUUGGUUGCCAUGGAUGCGCUUAAAAAGAGCUCAAGAUAUCAAAUGUUUUCUACUAAACUUUUGUAUGCAGGUGAGCUAACUUGAGACAAUGGCCAAACAAACCAAAUGGUAUCACCAAUUUAUAGGAAUAACAUGAGGUUCUUAGUUGGCGUGAACAUAACAUUCAGAAACACAAAAAAACCAAGAAUUAAAUUAUGUCUCCUAGUUGUAGGUUCCAAAGGUGUGCAACUAAACACUUCUAGAGUCCCGCGUCUUGCACAUUUUUUCAUGUUUGCAUUUAUUAUUGGCAUGACUUUAAGUAGCAAAAAACGUGCAUAAUUAAAUUGGUGAAGACAAUGUUAAGUAGUAAUUAGUUGCUCAUUAAUGUGAUGAUUUAGGAGGAAAAUGAUUUCAUAUUGAAGGUUAAAUUUAUCAUUUUAGGAUGUUAGGGCUGCAUUAGGGUUAGGGAUUUAGGGAAAUCAGACCACCUUAGAUUUAUAGUAAGUAAGAUGCUAACAUGUGCCUUAAGGCACAUGUUGAUCUAUUAAACAUAAAAAAUUUGUAUUGUAAAUUGUGUUAAUUUAAUUUGCAAAAAGGUAAACACUUUAUGUGAAUUAAUUUUUUUAAAUAAGUACUUAUAUUUUUCAGAAUCAUUAACAUAUGCUUCCGUAAGAAAAAAAAAACAUAUGUCCUAAGCGCACAAUUAACAAAACUUUUUCUUUUUAUCAAUUUGUCCUUUCACGUGUUAGCAACUAAAACUAGCAAGUUUUUAUUAAAAACAGCGAUUUUUUAUUAAAAAAUUAUAUAUUAAAUAUAAAAUGUAUAAGUUCUAAUAUAAAAUUAUUAUUUUAAAUUUUUUAACAUGUGUAAAUUUACACAUGAUAGAAAACACACAUCACUUGAUACAAAAAAAACACAUAUAAAAAAUGCUAAAAUUGUUAUUUUUACUUGAUAGUUAAUAUUUUAUAUAGAUUUUUUUAACUCGCUUUGAAUAAAUCUGUUAAAAAUAUAUUUUUAAAGAAACUUUGAUUACGAAUGAAUCAUUUGCUACAAAAAUACAAGAUAAAACACAUUUAAAUAAUUUUUUGAAAGAUAAAACACAUUCAAAACACAUUUAAAUAAUAAAAAUGCAUGUCACCGUGAGCUUAAUUCAGUUGAUAAGAACAAUGCAUAAUAUAUCAGAGAUACCAAAAUACGUCUUCUUUAAUGACCCAUUCAAAUCCUUUGCUAGUUGAGAUUUUUUUAUUGGCAGACUUCGGUACCAGACACGACUUUUGUGUUUUGAGUGUUCAUGACAAUUUAUUUUAUAAGGAUUAGAGUCAUAGAACAGCUCUUUCCGGUGUUAUCAUGUCCAAGAGAAAAAAAAAUUAUAAACUUUCAAUCAUUUUAUAUUGAAUAACAACAAAAUCCUUUGUAUUUGUAAUAAAAGCCAAAAUACAGUGGGACAUGGGGAGCCUCUUAAAAAUUGUACAUUGCUAAUAAGUCGUUAUAUGACAAUAUAAGAUACCAAGUUGUCGACUCUCUCAUCUUAAAAAAGUCGUUUGAAAACAAAAAGUUUAGAGUGGCAAAAAUUGAAAGGAAAAUUUUAAAGGGACUAAAACUGAAAUAUAGUAUAUUUAAAGAGACUAAAAAAUAUUAGAAAAUGUUAACGAGUGUCAUAAGGGCACUCUUUAAGAGUUUAAAAUAGUAAGAUUUUAUAAAAAUGUGUGCAUUUAAUGCAUUGAAAAUUGAAUUGUUUAACUUUUUAAAUAAAUGCAUUGGAAUAAUUUUUUAAUUUGGAAUCCUUAAAGAGUGCCCUAAGGACACUCGUUAACGAGACUCAAAAAUAUUUAGUCCGGAAUAUUUUCUUUUUUAAAAUAAUAUUUAGACAUAAAGAUAAAAAUUGUAAAGUUUCUUCACCAACUUUUUUUUUUUUUUUUUUUUGUGUAUGUUGAUGUUGGAAGAAGAAAAGAAUAUUAAAACUACAUUUUAAAUGUUAACACCAACUUGUAACCAAAAAAAAAUGUUAACAUCUAUUUUCAAUAAUAACUAUCGAUGAUAUUUUCAUUGCCUCUUACAUUUUUACUAGACCAAUAAUAAGGGCAAAUAAUUGAUUGACACAUUCAAUGGGGGAUCAAACAUUCAAAAAAAUACAUUUUUUUAUAAAAAAAAAAAAGUUAUGUUAACUUGUGUUUUAAGGACACAUGUUAAACAAUCCAAAAACAGCAAUUUUGCAUUGGAAAACAUAAUAUAUUAAGUUUUAAUAAGUUGAAUGGACGAUUUUUCUCAUGUUUUUAUAUACAAAUGUAAUUGGUACUCCCUCCGUUUCUAAAUAUAAGCAAAAUUGAAUUUUUAUGUUCAUUCAUUUAAUGAUGUAUGUGGUUCAUAUUAUGGAUCACAUAUAUCAUUAAAUGAAUGAACAUAAAAAUUCAAUUUUGCUUAUAUUUAGAAACGGAUGGAGUACCAAUUACAUUUGUAUAUAAAAACAUGAGAAAAUACUAACUUGUGUCUAAGAGUACAAGUUAAGAAAUCAAAAGUAGAAAUAAAAUCUUUAAAAUUGUGUAUUUUUAAUUUUGAAAACAUUAAAUUUUAUUUUUUUAACUUGUACGUUUGUUGAUUAAUUUCUUUUUUAACAUUUUAACCUUCAUCCUUAAGACACAAGUUAAGGCUUAAUACAUCAUUUGGUCCUUAACUUAUUUUUGGUUUUAAUUUUGGUCCCCUAACUUUAAAGUAUCUCAAUUUGGUCCCAUAAGUAUUCAUUUGUUUAUUAAUGUGGUCCUUUUUGUUAGUUUUUAAUCUUAAAUGUCUAAGGUGGACCAACUUUGUAGGUGGUCUACCAUAGACUUUAUUAAAAUUUUAAAUUUAAACCGUUUGAUCUUUUUUAUUUAAAGGAGGAUCAUUGGAUUGCGCAAGUCUAUUUUAUCUUACAGUGAGUCAACAACGGCUAACUUUAUAUCCCAUUCUUCAUCUUCUUUCGUCCUCUUAUUGAUCACUUUCAUCAAGCUUCAUAAAAAAAUCCAGAAAAAAUCAAGAGAUUCAUCAAUAGUAUCAUCAUCUCAUCACUACACCUCCACCACCAUCAACAAUAGCAACUAAACUAAUGACCAUAGAUUCAUCAACCCAUGAACAACAUAAACUUUAAUUCGUCAAAGACACCCAGAUCAGUAACACGCCCAAACCGACAAUUCCCAUUUUAAUAAUCUCAAAUGUUUUUUUUUUUUUUUAAUAAGCAAAUAAAAAGUGAAUCAUGAAAUCAAGAGGGAGAGAAAGAAUUACAAUGGAAUCAAAUUAUCAACCAAAUUAAUAAAAAAAAAUCAUUAAACAAGGAGAAAAAAUUGAAAUCAAUAAGGAGAGAAAGUGUGUAACGGCCGCAUCUUGAAACAUAUAUACAAGAUCUCAAGUAUAGAUGAUGGAUUCAGAGAUGAUUGAGUUGGAAAUAUCUAGAUUUGGAAAUCUAGAUUUGGGUACAAAUCCAAAACAUUGAGCAACUCUCAUGCGAUCCUCUUUAGAUUUUGUAUCACUCAGCUUCUCCAAUGCAAAAUGUGAUUGUGAAAACUGGUUUUAUGGGAAAAUUGGUUCAGAGUAUAAAAAUUGGUAUUGAACCGGUUUUGAACCAAACCGAACCAGAAUUCCAGAAGAAAAAAAAAACAGCUUUUUGCAGUAUGAGGUUAUAUAAACAGAACCGAACUAAAAAUUUGAUUUCAAUUUGGUUUAGUUCUUAAACUUGCACAUCGUAGAGAUAAUGAUGAUAGUUUUGUUAUUGAUUGUUGUUGACGAUUUAUGGAAUUUUCUGGGUUUUGUAUAAAGAUUGAUGAAGUUGAUGUUGAAGAUAAUGAAAAAGAGGAAUGAAGAAGAUGAAGAUAUGAGGAAGGAGAAGAGAGAAGAUGAAAAAUGAAAAAAAUUAGGUGCCGACGGUUCACUAUUAAAUAUAAUGGACAUGCAAUCAAAUGGUUAAAAUCAUAUUAAAAAAUUUAGACAUUAAAAAACUAACGGAGAGGACCACAAUAGUAAACGGAGGAAGACUUAUAGAACCAAAUUGAGACACUUUAUAGUCAGGAGACCAAAAUAAAACCAAAAAUAAAUUAAGGGAUCAAAUAAUGUAUUAAGCCCACAAAUUAACAUGACCCAAGAAGAUGUUCCUAUUUGUAGCCACUUACCGAUUCUUAUCAUAAGAAUCCCCAAAGACAUUAAUUUCUGAUGUAAAUGAAUAAAAAUUUGUACGAAUAAAAUUAGUUUUUGAUAUUGUCCUUGGUGCAUAUAAGAACCACUAUUAUUUAUAGGUAAAUUCUAUCGUACAUCCAAUAAUUUGAGUGUAUUGGUACACCAAAUCCUUAAAUUAAUAGUUAAAUGAGUUAUUUUUUGUAGGAAAAAAAUAUUUUCCAUCACCUAUAAUUAUAAUAACUAAAUCUUUUUUUUGAACAAGCCAAAAUGGAAUUAUAUACGAAUAGGGUAGUUCCCAACGCACAAGGUGUGCCUUAGAGACUACCACAGAAACCAAGAGUUACAACGGUUACAAACAAAAAACAACAGAAAAACAUUAGCCAAUACCCAAACAAACAAGAGGGUUUGACCGCCACUGCUGAGUCCCAAAAACAAAUAUAGCUUUUUUAGCUUUCAACCAACCUAGAGACAGCAGCUUAAUCUUAUCUAGUAAACAAGGGAUGGGGGUAACAACAUGAUUAAACAUUCGGUUAUUACGUUCAUUCCAAACAACCCAAGCACAAAGAAGCCAAAUAAGUUGCAUAAAAGAACGUCUAGCAGCACCACCACCUAUCAAAUGAGUGAACUAAAUCUUAUUUACAAAAAACGUCAACACAAUAAAAUUCGAUUUUUCUGAAUUCAUAUUACUCAUAAUAGAGAAUUUUGAUUAUUUUUUACAAUAAAAUAUAGAAAAAUUUAGUAUGAUUUUUCUAAAAAAUGAAAUGAUGUUCUUUUUCAUAAAAUGAUAUUUUCUAAAAUAUAUAUGUCAACAAACACCAAUUUUCUUUCAUAAAAAAUGAUAGUUAAUUUAUAAAAAUUGUAAGCGAGAGGACCGGUACAGCUUAAUUUGCGGGUGUACCGUAGAAGUUCCCUUAAUUAUAACCAAUAUAAAAUGAGAUAAUUGUUUAUAUAAUAAUAUUCUCUUCGAGUUUCUCUUUGAACUUAUCAAUGUCCUUUAUAUAUAGAAGAUCAAACUUUUUUUUUUCUCUUUCAACUUAUCAAUGUCCUUUUUAUAUAUAGAAGAUCAAACUUUUUUUUUUGGACAAAAUAUAGAAGAUCAAACUUUAUUUUCCCACACAACAAAGAAUAAAGCAUUGUAAUUUCAAAUAAAAGAAUAAAAAAUAAUAAAAAUGUCAGUUGAACAAUCAAAUAUAUUUGGGUCCAUUAAAAUCAACUCUAUACAAAAAGGUAGCUUUUUAUUUUGUAAAUCUUUUUUUAAGCCAAAUUAAUCAACCAAAAUUAAUACAAAAUAACUGAAUCUGAAACAUCAAGAGUGGCACACUCCAAAGUCUCAGAUAAACUUAUUUUUAAAAAUCUUUAACAACUUACAAUGCACAACCCUUACACAUUCAUUAAAAUUGAGUUGAGUUGUAAAAGAACUAAUUCUAGAAUCAAAAGCUAUAAAUAGUAGUAUAUUAAAGUAUAAUUAAUUGCUUUUAGUCUUUAUAAUUGAUAUCUCAAAAAAAUGGUAAACAUGAUUUUAUAGAGUUAGAAUUGCUUCUCACACUUGAAAAACAAUUCUAAAACAUUCAAACAUGAAACCAAUAGAUAGAGACUUAGAAGAGAAUUGAGGAGGAAAAAAAAAAUGAGACGAUCAAAUUUCUUAACAUUUUUAGAGGUUUUGGAAACGACACUACGGCAACCAUAGUCGCAAUUGCAUCGACAAUAAUUGUCUACACAUUAUUACAACAUAGACGUUUUCACCAUAACUGCAACCUCAACCACAUUUUAAACCAUGGUGGUGACAAACAAAUAUUAAUUACACUCAAAAUUAUUCUUAAAACAUAUCCACCUAUGUUGAAGAAGUAGCUUGAACUCGAAGAGUUUGAAUCCUCCUUAAGGUUAGCCCAAAUUGUUCGUCCAUAUUCAUGUCUUCUGGCUUUAGCCCAUCAGCAAGUUUCCAAUCAAAGUUGCAUAGAAGGGAUGCCACAAUUAAGUGCACAUUCCUAUGAGCUAAUGGCAAUCCCGGACAAAUUCUUUUACCUGCCCCAAAAGGUAUGAGCUCAAAAUUAUUACCCUUAUAAUUAAUGUCACAUUCCAAAAAUCUUUCAGGCUUGAACAUAUUUGAAUUUUCCCAUAUGGUUGGAUCUCUUCCCAUGGCCCAUAAAUUGACUAGUAUUUGUGCAUUUUUUGGCACAUUGAAGCCUGAUAUGUUCACAUUUUCAUCACAUUUGCGGGGUAUCGAUAAUGGAGCUGGUGGGUGCAAUCGAAGGGUUUCCUUCACAACUGCUUGUAAGUAAGGUAACUUGGAAAUAUUUGAUUCUUCUAUUGCUUCAUCUUUUCCCAUUACUUGACAUAAUUCUUUUCUUGCUUUAUCUAGUUUGCCAGGGUUACGUAAUAGCUCUGCCAUAGUCCAUUCAAUCGUGUUUGAUGUUGUGUCAAUCCCAGCAAAAAAUAAAUCCUGCCAAAAUAUAAUUUCCAAAUUAAUUUAAAAUUUAACCUAUAUAUCGGUAAAAAGUGUGGAAUAUUAAAUACUAAACCAUAUCUCAAAAAAAAAAUAUAAUUACUAAAUCAUGCAGUGAAAAUACGGAGGUGGAAAAAUGGAAUAGAGUUUAUUUACUGAUUUAAAUGCAUAUUAAUAUUAAAUAUUUUUUAAGGAAAUAUUAAAUUUAUUUUAAGCCCCUGUAAAAUUUUAAAAUUUCAUUGUUUUUCCCAUAUAACUUUUUUUACUUUUAAUCCCAUAAAUUUUUUCAAUAAGCCAUUUUUGUUCCUGUUAUUAAGUCGAUCAACUUCCCUCAAAAAUAAUUAAGUCGAUCAACUUGUGUGUAUUGUUCAAAUUUUUUACACACAUGUUUAUUUGUUUAAUUUUUUGAGAGGUACACACAUGUUUAUAACAUCAUAAACAUCCCUCUCACAAAAAUUUAAACAUUUUUUUACUAUAGAUGAAUUAAAUAUAAAUUUUUGAGGUCAAAAUAACAAAAGUACCGAUAUAAAAUUCAAAUUUUAAACGAGAACGUUUGGUAAGACUUCUAUUGUAACACAUGCAGUUAUCUACAAUGCUUGGUAGCAUUCCGAUAAGUUCUCAAUUCAUUUUGAUUUUAUUGGCAGUGGGAAGCCAUAAUAGGGCUUGGAUGGGCCACGACCUUCUCCAUCAAAGAGCAAAAUACACACCGAGAGACUAAUCUCAGAUCAUGGGGACUUUAAGGACAGUUAAUUAUAAAAAUGAAAUAUUCUAAUGUUUUGUGACUGAAAUGUCAACGCAUUUGUAAAAAUUUGACGAUGUAAUCUUAAAGAGAUAAAGUUAAAACCUCAUCUGCUAAAAAAAAAUAAAAAAAUCUCAAGAUCAUGAAUGAUUGAUAGCAAAGAAUAUAUAAUUAAUAUUUUUGUCUUAGAGUAACUGCCGUAUUUAAAAAAACAAUUGUUAGAUUCAUUUUUCAAUGUAGUUUGUGUUUUUUUAUUAGUAUGGAUCCUGCCACAGUGCCACCGUCGUCGUUAUUUUGUUAAUUAAGUUGUUAUUCUUAACAGUUGGGUUUGUUUAUGAGAUUCAACGGAAGUUUGUAGUUUUCUUUUUUUUUUUCUUCACAAAUUCGUGUUUACGGUCACUCUUCGUUCCCUGGUCUUCAAGGAUGUGAGUUUUUGGGUUAUGUUGUGUGAUGUUUGUGCUCGAUCUGGUGUUUUAAACGCCGUGACAGUUUUGGUGGUCGUGAUGCUGCCGGCGAUUUGGGUAAUAGACUAGAUAUGAUUGUGGCUAAAAAUGGUCGUGAGAUUUCUGUUGUUUAGUAUUGUUUGAUAAUAUUCCUAAAAUAAAAUAAAAAAAGUAUUGUUUGGUAGUAGAUCGCAUGUGUUUUGAAUUUGUUACAAUAUUGACGCUCGAAUCCACUCCUCAUAAUGAAGAUCUGGAUCUGAUGCACAGGUCACCCACCUUUUUUUUUUUUUUUUGCAAUUUGAUUUCACAUUUAUGUGCGCAUAUAUGGUGGGAUUUGUGGCUUAUAUAUAUCCUCUUGGUUAUUUUGUUUUAUGCUUUUGGUUGUUUUUCUUUUAUUUUAUAUUAGGUCAGAUUUUUCGUCCCCCAGUUUUUUUUACUUUGUUUAAUUUUAAUUUAAAUGUUAUAGACUCAUCUACACUCUAUUGGCGUAAAAAAAAUAAUAUGUAUGUUAUUUUCAAAGUAAUUUUCACUUUUCAUUUGUGAUAAUAAAAAUACAUCAAUAGUCAAUAAGGAUAAUUUAAUAAAUAAAAAAUCUUUUAUUUAUCAUUUUUUUUCUUAAGUUGUGUGAAAUAGUUAAAUGCGAUUAUUAUUAUUGUGAGAGAUGAAGUAUUUCAAAAAUUAUUGUAAUUCGUUGACUCUACAUUUUUUUUAAACUGAAAAUGUAUAAAAAUGAAUUUCUUAUAGUUUAUGAAAUUUAAUUAUUUGAAAAGCAAAACUAACCAGAAACAGAUGCACCAUCUCAUUGCGGGUCAAUUCCAAAGUGGUUUCUCCAACAUGGUUGUUGUUAAGAAGUGAAUCUAACACAUCAUUGCACACCACAUAAUCAACUUUGGAAGAUCUUGAACUAAUUCUUUUUUCAAUAAUUCCAUCAAAAAUAUCACAUAACUUCUUCAUGUAACUGGUCAUCUUUGCAUGCACACCUUGUGGAUCAAAGGGACGAAGAAUUGGAAAGAAAUCUGAAACAUUAGGCUUACCAGCUUCUUCCAUGAAACUCCCAAUAAUUUUCUUAAACUCUUGAGACUUUUCAUCGGGUGUGGAAUGAGCCAAAUCAAUAGAGAACAAAGUAUUUGAAAUUGAAUUAAGAACAGUGUUAAAAACAGCCUCACCAAUAUCAAAAACCUCUCCUUUGUUGCUUUUUUCAUUCACAUAAUCUAAUAAUUCUUGCAACUUUUGUUGACGAAGGAUUUUUGUUGAGUCAAGCAUUUUUGUAGAAAAUACUUGUGUAGCACAAAUUUUCCUUAGUUUCUUCCACAAAGCUAAUGUUGGAAGUGUUCCUAUUGAGAAUUUGUGAUGAUCAAGUGCACAAAUUGCAUCCGAGACUACUCUAUUAGAGAAUAUUUGGGAAUUUUCUUGUAACACUUGUUUGGCUAGUUGUGGUGAUGAGAUUACUAUGGUUGUUAAUGUUCCUAGUUUUAAUGUCAUGAUUGGUCCAUAGGUUUUUGAGAGUUUUGUGAGUGCCUUGUGUGGGUUUUUGCCAAGUUCUAAGAUGUUUCCAAUUAUGGGAAAUGGGUUUGGCCCUGGUGGAAGCUUGGUGGAAUUUUGGGUUUGUUUAACUUUUCUAAUAAUAAAGAUGAGAAUGCUUGCACUUGCAAAGGUAACCACUAGUAGAAGUGUUU